rnacentral:rRNA from 1 species
AGAGUUUGAUCCUGGCUCAGGAUGAACGCUGGCGGCGUGCCUAACACAUGCAAGUCGAACGUGAAACCCGAUGCUUGCAUUGGGGAGUAAAGUGGCGAACGGGUGAGUAACACGUUGGUGACCUACCCCGAGGUGGGGGACAACCGUGGGAAACCACGGCUAAUACCCCAGAUGUUGAGGAGUCUAGACGUCCUUAACUAAAGUUCCGACGCCUCGGGAGGGGCCUGCGGGCUAUCAGCUUGUUGGUGGGGUAACGGCCUACCAAGGCUAAGACGGCUAGGGGGCGUGAGAGCGCGACCCCCCACAAUGGAACUGAGACACGGUCCAUACUCCUACGGGAGGCAGCAGUGAGGAAUAUUGCGCAAUGGGGGAAACCCUGACGCAGCAACGCCGCGUGAACGAUGAAGGCCUUCGGGUCGUAAAGUUCUUUUCUGAGGGAAGAUAAUGACGGUACCUCAGGAAUAAGUCCCGGCUAACUACGUGCCAGCAGCCGCGGUAAAACGUAGGGGGCGAGCGUUAUCCGGAUUUAUUGGGCGUAAAGCGCACGUAGGCGGCGCUGUAAGUUGGACGUGAAAGCUCUCGGCUUAACUGAGAGAGGUCGUUCAAAACUGCAGUGCUUGAGGUUGGAAGAGGAGAGUGGAAUUCCCGGUGUAGUGGUGGAAUGCGUAGAUAUCGGGAGGAACACCAGUGGCGAAAGCGACUCUCUGGUCCAUACCUGACGUUGAGGUGCGAAAGCGUGGGGAGCGAACAGGAUUAGAUACCCUGGUAGUCCACGCCGUAAACGAUG